rnacentral:lncRNA from 1 species
UAAGGGGUGAACAUCCUUGGGAAGCCACAGAGAGCAAGGCGCAGUUUUUCAUUGAUCACCACUUUCAAGAUGCUCCCAGAAUCGUGCUGUCUAGGAAGCCAUUUAAACUGGUGAGAAGCCAUCCUCUCUUGAAUGGGGGCUCCCACUGUACAUCUGGCACCCACUUCACAGAUUCUGGGGGAUGUCAACACCAGCACUGCUGAGCUGUGUGACCUUGAGCAAGACAGUUAGCCUCUCUGAACCUCAGUGUCCUUCUCUGUAGGCUGGAGAUUGAUAUACCUUCAUUAUCGGGGUAUGAGAGUGUUAUAAGGUGGGAUGGUGGAACACGCUGACUGGUCUGGGCUAUUCAAGAUCCAUGAACUGGAAGAUGCUUUCUUAUAACUCAGAGAAAAGAGAUGAAAAUGAAUCAAAGAACAGGAAGGAGACAAGCUCAGGAGAGUCACCCUAAGAAGGAUGUGUGGAAGACUUGACUGGAGGAUCAAAAUGUGUCGGGGGAAGGUGUACAAGGAGGAGUAAGGACACAGAUGUCCUGACUUCACACAGUGGGGGAUUAGAAGCCACCAUCAAACACAGAUGAAACAGGAAUAAAAGUAGUAGUACAUUACUUAAGCUUUAAAAGGGUAAGACUCCUGGGAAUUUGGAAGCUGAGACUUGAGGCAAGUAUUUAGGAUUUGCUGUCUCACCUCCCUGCUAUGACAGUCCUUAAUUAAUGGAGAUGAUGGAGAACAGCUUGCUGGGCUGAGUGGCAGGAGCCAUGCAGCUGCUGGGGCUGGAGUGGGUCAGGAAGCUUCAUCAAUCUGGGACACAUGACGUGCUUGGUGGUGGCGGAGCCUGACGCAUCCCUCUUCAUCGACAUUGUGUCAAUAGGAGCAGAGGCAUUUAGCUGUGUAAACACAGAGCUUCAGUGGCAGCACCCUAAAUGCUUAGCUGAUAGAUCCGGAAUUAAAUACAGACCUAGAAACUGGAGUUGGAAAACUUCCUGGCAGCACUCCUUCCCUGCCAUCCCGGUGAUCCCCUUCUGGAUGGAGGGUGUGGAGCUCAGCACAUUCACGUCUGCAGUUCUCAGAGAACCAAGUGUUAAGGAAUGUCAGGGAAGGAAGAAGGCAGCCAGCCAGGAAGGGGAGGUCCUGGCCUGAGCACGCCAGGCACAGAGGGAUAGAGGGUAGGGAGGAAACUGCACCUGUCUCCAACCCUCGACCCCAGCCCCGAAACACGACAUUGGCUGAAACAGAUUAAAAGCAUAAAAUGGCCCAAAGAAAUGGGAGAAGGUUGGCCUCUGGUCGGGCAAACAUGAGGGCAUGAAGAUAUAUAAUGUCCCACACGGGAGGAAACCCUUGCCGGGCCCCUCAGGAUUUAUAACAAGCUCACCUGAAGGAGAAACUUCAGGGGCACUUACACCAUCAGAUACCUAGAAAGGAGCUGUCAUUUCCUCACUGAAGAGUUUGCAAGCAGAUGGUAAAAGGGGUUUAAUUUGAAAACACUGAAACAUCGUGUUCGCUCAAAACCAUGACAAUUGCAGUUUUAUUGUCUCCACUCAGGAAAAUGUGUGUCUGGAUCAUCUUGUGGCCCGAAUGGGGAGAAAAGGCUGGGUGUAUUUAUUUUCUUUUGCUCUCAAAAUUAUUUUGGAAUUAUGACUUACCAUUAAUACUUGAAAAGUGAUCAAAUAGAGGAAAGCAUUCUAAAGGUGGAGAAAGAGAUGUGCAGCUAACAGGAGACAUUUAUGCGUUAUUUCACCAGCCCACAAGUUCAAGUUCUAGGAGUUGAAAUGGCAAAGGCCUGAGGACUUUCAGCAUUUUGUCAACACUGACCAAGCGAACAGGGUGCUGUUCACAAUCCAAGUUCGCAAUCCAAGUGCAUGCUGUCUUUGGAUUAAAUGGUUUAUGCAGAUUGGUCUUGGUUCUUCUGUACGUUCUGUAUUGGGGAGGGAUGAUGAGUGGAUGGACAUCUUGCAGAUAAGACCCCUUGCCCAGUAUACUGUGGGGUUCACUGUAGUUGUGGAGGAAGACCUUUCAGUUUGGGGGCAGAGCACAAUUUUUGUGUCCCUUUACUCAAAAUGCU